UACGGAGGGGGCUAGCGUUGUUCGGAAUUACUGGGCGUAAAGCGCACGUAGGCGGAUCAGCAAGUUAGGGGUGAAAUCCCGGGGCUCAACCCCGGAACUGCCUUUAAAACUGUUGGUCUGGAGGUCGAGAGAGGUGAGUGGAAUUCCGAGUGUAGAGGUGAAAUUCGUAGAUAUUCGGAGGAACACCAGUGGCGAAGGCGGCUCACUGGCUCGAUACUGACGCUGAGGUGCGAAAGCGUGGGGAACAAACAGG
rnacentral:rRNA from 1 species